rnacentral:rRNA from 1 species
UACGUAGGGGGCUAGCGUUGCUCGGAAUCACUGGGCGUAAAGCGUUCGUAGGCGGCUUACUAAGUCAGGGGUGAAAUCCUGGAGCUCAACUCCAGAACUGCCUUUGAUACUGGUGAGCUUGAGUCCGGAAGAGGUGAGUGGAACUGCGAGUGUAGAGGUGAAAUUCGUAGAUAUUCGCAAGAACACCAGUGGCGAAGGCGGCUCACUGGUCCGGUACUGACGCUGAGGUGCGAAAGCGUGGGGAGCAAACAGG